CCUACGGGAGGCAGCAGUAGGGAAUCUUUCACAAUGGGCGAAAGCCUGAUGGAGCAACGCCGCGUGCAGGAUGAAUGCCUUCGGGUUGUAAACUGCUUUUAUAAGCGAGAAAUAUGAUGGUAACUUAUGAAUAAGGAUCGGCUAACUACGUUCCAGCAGCCGCGGUCAUACGUAGGAUCCGAGCAUUAUCCGGAGUGACUGGGUGUAAAGAGUUGCGUAGGUGGCAUAAUAAGUAGCUAGUGAAAUCUGGUGGCUCAACCAUUCAGACUAUUAGCUAAACUGUUAAGCUUGAGACCGUUAGAGGUAAGCGGAAUUCCUAGUGUAGGAGUGAAAUCCGUAGAUAUUAGGAGGAACACCAAUAGCGUAGGCAGGUUACUGGGACGGUUCUGACACUAAGGCACGAAAGCGUAGGGAGCAAACGGGAUUAGAUACCCUAGUAGUC
rnacentral:rRNA from 1 species